rnacentral:rRNA from 1 species
UCCGGCGGCAAUAGCGAAGGGGAAACACCUCUUCCCAUUCCGAACAGAGAAGUUAAGCCCUUCAGCGCCGAUGGUACUGCCCUGGCAACGGGGUGGGAGAGUAGGUCGUCGCCGGGA